AAUCUAGUAUUAUGUUACCGUUUUUCCCCUUAAUCUCUCCCUUAAUGUGACGGUUUCCUUAAUUCUCUCUAUAACUGCUGCCAUGAUUCUUCCCACUAUGUGACCAUUUUUUCCCCACAUUUUCAACCACCUUCUUGUUUCAUCUCUCUAUAAAUACUGGGGUAAAUUAUUUCAUGGGGACAGAAAAAAGAGAAAACACUUUCUUCUUCACUGCUUUCUUUCUCCUCAAAUUUCGUGGGCAAUAUUCAAGAGCGUUCUCAAUCUGUUUUUCAACACUGGAAACACAGAAACCGUGUAUCCCUGGAGGUUGAUUGCUACGAGUCCGUGUGUUGUUACGGGGCAAAUUCAACUUUAGGGCAGUGAUCUUUUCACGCCACGGUUAUCAGAUAAGUUAGAUUUUAUUGUUACCAGUUUUCAUUCCUACCUUCUAAAGUUGAAUUUUUUUUCUUGGUAACUCAGUAUUGUUUUUGUUUGUUGAUCUUUCCUUAGAUCUAUAACUGUCUUUAAAUUAUUGAUUAUAUGAGUAUUCGGAUGUCUUCUUUGAUUUAUUCGGUAUUGUAAUUUUAGUGUUGAUUAUAUGUGUUUGUGAAUAUGCUGUUGAUUUGGGUGGAUGAGAAAUUAUUUAUUGGUUGCUCAGAUCUUGUGCCGAUUAAUUUUCUGAAUUGUGUUAUAAUCGGAAAUUAAUUUGUUGCUGUGCUGUGAAUUUGAAGCGAACAUAGUCAACUUCUUGGUGUAAAAAGGUUGCGGGUGAAUACAAGCUCUGGCUGUUGUGUAUUAGAUCUGUUUGUUCCUCAAUUUUAUCGCUGAAUCUUGUAAAAGGAAAGGAUUCAAAUUUCCUGGGUUGAAGGAAAUAAUGGGUCGCAAUGGACCAAUGAACAAUCUUGUUCAAUUCAGAUAUGUCAACUCAUAGAGGACAGGAAGCUGAGUGGAUAAAGGGUUUGGUUGUUGAUAUUCCACUGUGGUGUAAGCCAGCUCUAUCAGUUUUAUGGGUUGUGAUUCAUAAGCAACAAUUAAGGUAGCGAAUAAUUAGCCUAUAAUGAAAGAGAAGGCAUUUUCGCUUAAGGAAUGCUAUUGUGAGAAAUCUAAUUAGAAAAAUGUGACUCGAGUAUAUAUAAAGUUGGAGAGGAAUAUUGUUGAUCCUCUCACCAAAGGCGUUUGGAGAAAAUUGGUGCUAGAGUUAGCACAAGGAAUGGGUUUAAAGCCUAGUGUUGAGUGAAUUGUGAUGGAUACCCUUCUUAGGAAUUUCUAAGUUCAAAGGGUCAAACGAAAUCACAAAACAACUCAAGUUAUUGUGUAUUACUACCAUUCCUAUUAAUAAAAGUGAUGUAGUAUUUUGUUUUAAUUUA